rnacentral:rRNA from 1 species
AACGAACGCUGGCGGCAUGCCUAACACAUGCAAGUCGAACGAGACCUUCGGGUCUAGUGGCGCACGGGUGCGUAACGCGUGGGAACCUGCCUUUAGGUUCGGAAUAACUCAGAGAAAUUUGAGCUAAUACCGGAUGAUGUCUUCGGACCAAAGAUUUAUCGCCUUUAGAUGGGCCCGCGUUGGAUUAGCUAGUUGGUGGGGUAAAGGCCUACCAAGGCGACGAUCCAUAGCUGGUCUGAGAGGAUGAUCAGCCACACUGGGACUGAGACACGGCCCAGACUCCUACGGGAGGCAGCAGUGGGGAAUACUGGACAAUGGGCGAAAGCCUGAUCCAGCAAUGCCGCGUGAGUGAUGAAGGCCUUAGGGUUGUAAAGCUCUUUUACCCGAGAUGAUAAUGACAGUAUCGGGAGAAUAAGCUCCGGCUAACUCCGUG